GCCGUACAGUGUUCUUCCACCGAACACACUGACUCCCAUUUCUCCUCUACGACAUUACCAUUCCUGCAAUUAGGGUUUCUUUGCCUUCCAAAUUGCAAAUUGAAUCGACCAAUUUACGGCCAUAUUAGAAGCUGGACAGUUGUCCCUUCCACAUUUCAAUUCAUUUCCUGAAAUCUCGCCGAUAGUUCGUUGCUGAGCUGGGAGAAGAGAAGAAAUGGCGAAGACCAAGCCAGGGAAGAAGGAACUCGAUUCUUACACCAUUCGUGGGACCAACAAAGUUGUCAGACCGGGGGAUUGUGUAGUAAUGAGACCAGCAGACUCAAACAAGCCCCCUUACGUGGCAAAAGUAGAGAAGAUUGAAUCUGAUCAUCGGAAUAAUAUAAAGGUGCGUGUCCAGUGGUACUACCGUCCUGAAGAAUCCAUAGGAGGUCGCAGGCAGUUUCAUGGUGCCAAGGAGCUCUUUUUAUCAGACCACUACGAUGUGCAGAGUGCACAAACCAUUGAAGGCAAGUGCACCGUGCACAGUUUCAAGAACUAUACCAAGCUAGCAAAUGUGGGUGCCGAGGAUUACUUUUGUAGGUUUGAGUACAAGGCUGUUACCGGAGGGUUUACUCCGGAUCGUGUUGCGGUGUAUUGCAAGUGUGAGAUGCCAUAUAAUCCCGAUGAUCUUAUGGUGCAAUGUGAAGAAUGCAAGGACUGGUAUUAUACUUUUGUUCUAUAUCGUGGUUCCAUCCUUCUUGCAUGAACAUGACCAUUGAAGAAGCAAAGAAACUAGACCGUUUCUCAUGUUCGGAUUGUUCGUCCGAUGAUGAUGCGAAAAGGUCUUUGAACUCAUCCCUUGUAUCUCCUACUGAUGAGGAAAAGGUAACGCCGAAGCGCAGAAAGAGAUGAAAAACCCGUUUUUGGGCAUCGUGAGGUUGUACCAUGUUCCCUGCAUAGUAGCACCCAUCUUCUUGUUGUAUUGUAGGAUUCUCUUAAGUGCAGACAGACAUGGAGUUAGAACCAAAAACCCGAGGCUGGUCCCAUCUGUUGCUACUUAUCAUCGUCAUCUUCUAUUAAUGCUGUCUGCACUGAUUAAGAUACUUUAACAGCUCAUAAUAUUUGUACUCUGCAUGCAUUCGAUGACAGACAGCGAGCCAGCGAGCUCAUCUCUAGAACUUGUGUUGAUUCGGAUGUAGUCUUAAACCCGUUAUGACAAAUUCACGAGGUACCAUGUUGCGUCGAAUUUGCUGCUAUAUAUGCGCUGAAGUAGUCAGAUUAUUACGUGUGUUGUGCAUAAUAUCACUCGUUAUCAAUGU